AUACGGAGGAUGCGAGCGUUAUCCGGAUUUAUUGGGUUUAAAGGGUGCGUAGGCGGGUCGGCAAGUCAGCGGUGAAAUGUCGGGGCUCAACUUCGGAAUUGCCGUUGAUACUGCUGGUCUUGAAUACGGUCGAGGCAGGCGGAAUGUGUAAUGUAGCGGUGAAAUGCUUAGAUAUUACACAGAACACCUAUUGCGAAGGCAGCUUGCUAGGCCGGGAUUGACGCUGAGGCACGAAAGCGUGGGGAUCGAACAGGAUUAGAUACCCUGGUAGUCCACGCCGUACACGAUGAUCACUCGCUGUCGGCGACAGACAGUCGGCGGCCGAGCGAAAGCGAUAAGUGAUCCACCUGGGGAGUACGUCGGCAACGAUGAAACUCAAAGGAAUUGACGGGG
rnacentral:rRNA from 1 species